rnacentral:lncRNA from 1 species
GCGGUACUCUUUGAGUAUGAAUAUUUGAUCAUAUGAGGUAAUUUUUGCUUGAAUCUAUUGGUAACUCCUUUCAAAACAUAUCCAUAUCAAUUACUUAUCUCAUUUACUUUGAUUUUAUGUCCCUACAAAGGAAAUAGAAGCAUCUUCUCUAAAAGGUACUAUUAAGAUUGAACCUUUUAUUACCUUCUUAUUAUUUAUUCUUAUUUUUUUACUACGUCUUUCUAUUAGAAUCUUCUAUAACAAUAUCCAUAUUUUUUUUUUAUCAUAUAGUUGUAUUAUUACACAGCA